UCUCCACUAUGGUUGCUUGCACCAUCAUGAGGUGGACGAUGCCUUCUGAUUUCAGUCAUAAGAUUCUGAAGAUCUUGUGUCAACCUCUCUUGCUUUUCUUUCAUGCUUUGUCAGAGUUUAUUAAAUUGUGCUAUGGUAACACGAUCUUUGAUGUCCACUCGACCCAUCUUCCUGUAAGGUUAGCUAAAUACAAAUAAUUUG
rnacentral:lncRNA from 1 species